UAAAUUAGCCACUUCUCGAUUUAAAUAUGAGACCUUUCCAAGCCCGAUCCCAUCUGAUCACGGAAGCUAAGCAGGGUUGGGCCUGGUUAGUACUUGGAUGGGAGACCACCUAGGAAGACCAGGUGCUAUAGGCG
rnacentral:rRNA from 1 species